rnacentral:RNase_P_RNA from 1 species
AAAGUAAACCAGGCAAUCGCCGGUGGAGUGCCGAAAGGCCCCACGGGAGGAAAGUCCGAGCUCCAUAGGGCAGGGUGCCGGCUAACGGCCGGUGGAGGUAACUCUAAGGCUAGUGCCACAGAAAUGAAGACCGCCGAUGGGGAUGGGGUGACCCAUCUCACAGGUAAGGAUGCAACGGUGCGGUAAGAGCGCACCAGCAGUAUGGAGACAUACUGGCUAGGUAAACCCCACCUGGAGCAAGACCUUAAAGAGAUCUACGCUUCGGCGUAGCUGUAGCCCGCAGUGAUCUCGGGUUGGUCGCUGGAGUGGUGUAGCAAUACAUCGCCUAGACAGAUGAUUGCCGCUCCAAUACGUGGGAGGCGAUACGACAAUCGCUACCUGACCACUAGGAGAACAGAACUCGGCUUAUGGUUUGCUUUCCAA